rfam:Triticum urartu cultivar G1812 contig1127956, whole genome shotgun sequence.
AAAGUACUCCCUCCGUACGGAAUUACUUGUUGCAGAAAUGGAUGUAUCUAGAUGCAUCUAGAUACAUCCAUUUCUGUGACAAGUAAUUCCGAACGGAGGGAGUAUGAA